AACACUGUUAACCUGCGGUACCUGCGGAGGGAUCAUUAAAAAACUCUUUUGCCCGCGGACUUUGUCCAAGGCGCAAAAGACCCACACCUGUGUGCACUGUUAUCGUUUCUUUGGCAGGGGCUUGGGGUGGUUUUUUCCCUCCAACUUCUCCUCCGGCUCUAUCCUUCUCUCUCUCUCGGGGGGGAGGACAGCUGGACAUGGGAAGCAGUUUACCCUGCCAAGUAAACCUCAAAACACGCU
rnacentral:misc_RNA from 1 species